GCCAUUCCCAAAGACCAGAUCCCUCCGUGCGGCCCUUCGCGAAGACCUUUUCUCUUUGUGCGUUUUGUUGUUCUGGACUUUUCUGCCUUCAUCAGAGCCUUGCUGUCCCAGCUCAUUCUUUAUGAGACGCUCUCCCUUGAGUAGUAACGUCUUUGAUCUGCCUGCACUUUGCUGUGGGACACUGGACGAGUCACCAUCCUACAGGGAUUGUAAAAAGGGCUUGGUGUCCUCUCGCUCACACUUCGUAACUCCACGACCCUCAUGGCGCACACCAGAGGAAAAUCUUGUUGUGGAAUCCUUCAUCAGUAGUGCUGUGAGCUUCAUAUCACAUCACACCAGGAGGUAUACAAUCUCUAGACAUCCCGUGGUUAGUGAUGCAUGACCGAUCAAUGAAUUCAGAAGGUGGCAGUCUGAUCUCCUCUCCUCCCCCACUAUAAAGCUUCCCAUCAACCUUUCACCUAGUGCUUCAUCUAUUGGUGAUCAUUAACUGCUGCAAAAUGGCCCUUCAAUCUGCUAAAGUCUUUUCUCAAGUAAGAGUUCCUCUCGCAUCCGGCAGAAGAGAACCCUGAACCCAGCUCUGAAUCAGCAUCCUUCAUAACUAUAUUCACCCACUAGCACCCUAAGAGAAUUUUCCACCUUGGCUUGAAUACUUUAUUCAUGUCUGAUUGCAUUUUCCCUGUUGACACAUCCUUGAACAAGGACAAUUCUACAUGACCCUGGCAUUGCCACCUACCCAAACCUUUGAUCUGGAAUGCCACAAAUCUAAGAGAUCUUCUAUCUGGUGACAACAGCUCUUUGGAGACAUUGCAAAGUCCUUUUCCAGUUUAAGCUCUGCCUCUGCCAUGUGUUGUAAUCAGCACAGAAUGACAAGGGAUGAGCAGCAGUGUUAGAACAGAUGUGACACACCUGCAGCCUACCACUGCAGCCUGGCCUUUUUGGAGGAAGUCUUCCCUACCCUCUACCAGCCUGGCAACCUGAACACAGAACAUGACCACAUGAGUCCAAAAGACCUGAAGAGAAGUGAACAGAUUUGGGUUUUCUUCCCAAAGAAGAAGAGGUGGGCAGGAGAAACUUCUUCCUGCUUGUGGAUGCAGUUGUGCAAGGAUAUAAUUCCCAAAGCAACAACAGCAGCCACUUUGUGACCACGAGGUAACCAACCCAAAUGGAAGCCAAUGUGGUAAGGAAGGCAGAACAAAAUUUGUUUAAUACAGAUUUUUAAUGAUCUUAUUAAGCUCUUCAAACCAAGCUUGAAACUACCUUCCUCAGAAUGAAAAAAACAAAAACAACUGGGAAUUCUGUAUCCGAGAUGCUUGUAGCCCGCUUUUCUAGCAUAGGGUACAUUCACUCCAGCUGGUUUACCUCUUGCUAUCAAACUACAUAGGGCCUUUGUUGGUUGUUUGGAUUUCCUCUCAGUGUUGUGCAGACCAACAAAAUUUGGGGGUCUAUUAAAGUAAA
rnacentral:lncRNA from 1 species